GAAACCACAAAGCAGCAGCAGGGUCAGGAGCAGGGCCGGCAGGACCUGGAUGAUUAGUGGGUUGCUAGUCCAGCCCUCUGGUUGACUUGCCUCCUGUGAUGGACCAGUGUCCUAUGACGGCAGAUGGGUGCUCUCUGAUGAACAAGUGGGUGUAUCUCAUUCCAGUGCAGGGCCUCUGGACAGCCCAGGUUGGUGGCAUCCCCACCCUGGUACUCACACAGGUGGUGCUCUUCAUAGUGAUGUCAUUAGAAAGGACAUUUCUGCCAUUGUUCAGGCUGGCUUCAACAAAGACCUCCUUAAAGCACAGAAAGCGAAGAUGGUGAGAGCCAGCCCGGAGAGAUGCAGUUCUUGCCCUUGAGUCCAUUGGCUUAACUCUGAAAGGCGACCUGGAGCAACGGUACCAUUCCUCGGGCAAUCAUCUCCUGCAUCCUGCCCUCCUCACAGACCCUAGGACACUGCAGAUCCCUAGGACACUGCAGAUCCCUGAACACCUUGGGGGCCACCAACAAGGGAGGAAAUGACAUGGGAAGAAUGUCGAUGCACAUGUUCGUCCACUGUUCCUCCCACCUCCGGUCCUCAUCACGCAGAGCGGACCCUGUGGUCCACGACUGGCAUCUGGGCUCUGCUUUCCCAUUGCAGAGACCCCUGUGAGCACCCGCCACGCCCAGGCCCUGUGCAGCACUCUGAUGUGUAACAGGAAAGGCAGGCAGAGUCCCUGCUCUCAAGGACUCACCUUUAAGGACUGCAUGGGAGACAGACAACAAAAUUAAAAAUAGAGAACAAAAUAGAUGGCAGAGUGCAACGUGCUGUGAUGUCCAUGAGCAGAGGGAAGGAGAGGCACAGAGAGAAAGGGACAGCCGCUUCGUCACAGGCGACCAGAAGCAUUCGUGUGAUGUUCCACAGUUUCUUCAAUCCCAUUUCAUUUUCUUUUUCUUCCAUCAUAUUUAAGCAAAAUUAAAUUUAUUAUGUUGUAGUUGAAAAUGUUAAUAGCACUUGUCUUUGGGUUUGGGAUUUGGGGCAAUGUUUUUAUUCAUUAUGUUUUGUCUAUGUUUCUUUUUUCUACAUUGUAUCAUUUUUAUAAUAAAAUAUAAUUAACACUUUAAAAAUAAUUG
rnacentral:lncRNA from 1 species